rnacentral:rRNA from 1 species
GAGUUUGAUCCUGGCUCAGAACGAACGCUGGCGGCGUGCCUAACACAUGCAAGUCGAACGUGAUCCAGAGCUUGCUCUGGUGAAAGUGGCGCACGGGUGAGUAACGCGUGGAUAACCUACCCUGGUAUCCGGGGUAACAUUCCGAAAGGGGUGCUAAUACCGGAUAAGCCCACGGGCUCUUUGGAGCUUGCGGGAAAAGGUGGCCUCUAUUUAUAAGCUACUGUAUCAGGAUGGGUCCGCGUACCAUUAGCUAGUUGGCGGUGUAACGGACCACCAAGGCGACGAUGGUUAGCUGGUCUGAGAGGAUGAUCAGCCACACUGGAACUGAGACACGGUCCAGACUCCUACGGGAGGCAGCAGUGGGGAAUUUUGCGCAAUGGGGGAAACCCUGACGCAGCAACGCCGCGUGAGUGAUGAAGGCCUUUGGGUCGUAAAGCUCUGUCAGAGGGGAAGAAAUGAUAUAGUGCUAAUACCACUUUAUCUUGACGGUACCCUCAAAGGAAGCACCGGCUAACUCCGUGCCAGCAGCCGCGGUAAUAC